ensembl:lncRNA
GUGCGCGUGUGUGUGUGUGUGUGUGUGUGUGUGAAGGCGAGAAUAAGGAUGGCAGGAGAUCUGUGAGUGCGAGCAUGCGCAUAUCUUAGUGUGUGUGUGUGAGUGGCUGGAGAGAGUGAGAGAAAGCGUGAGUAAUUCCAUGCUUUGGCUCCCUGAGAGCCUGUAGAUGCUCUCACAGCAGUGGUCUGAACACAUACACACACACACACACACACACACGCACACACACACACACACACACACACACAAAUCGUAGACAUGUCGUCAUUGCCACGGUGCCGCAACGCCUGCAGCUGAUGAUGAUGGUGUGAGAGGGUUGAAAAAGAAGAGGGGACGCUACAACCUUGGAGGGUGUACAUUACACAGUUCUCUCCUGAUCCCAUCAUUAGGAGACAGGACCAACCCUUCCAUCUCCUCUACCCAAAUAGACGCCUAUGAUAACCGCUUCUGCUUGAGCUAUCAGUUGAAUUUGAUCAGGCUCCAUGUGUGCACAAUAUUUGUGACUGGUUUUAAUUAUUACCCGGGCUGUUUAUAAAAUAUGUAUAAAAUAUGUCCAUAUUAAUAAUGCAUUAAAGCUGCAUGGUGCUGCAGGGGGAAGUAUUGCCGUCUCACAGCUCCACGGUCCCUGGUUCGAGCCUGAGCUUGGGAGUUAUGCAUGUUUGCCACGUGUCCGUGUGGGUUUCCUCCAGACUUUCCGGUUUCCUCCACCUCCUAAAAACAUGCUUAAAACGAUUGCCUACCCUGACCAGGAUAAAGUGUUACUGUAGAUGAAUGAAUAAAAAGCUUCAUGCACAAUACAGCAGCUCUGAAGAGGGAUGAUUGGGAUGUUCUAUAUAAAACAGUAGAUCUUCUGUAGAAAGUACAAACAUGCCCUGUAAACCAGGCACUCCAGGAUUUUUCGAUCGCAGAAAUGAAUGCAAAAUCGAGGAAACUCUGGAAUAUUUGGAGGAGCUUGCCAUUUUUCAAAAUUACUGCAAAUUUUCUACAGAUUUGGGCCAAGACGCGUCAUGUGACGUCAUCACAACAUGCAUUCAGCCAAAGCCGUCUUUGAUUCAUGUGUGUCGAACAUGAGUAUAGCUGAGGGGUCUCAUUUAACAACAAACUUCACUGUUAAAGACCAUGCAAAUCUAUUUUGGGCAUUUCAAUUGCGCCAAUUCAAGUAGUUUUCUGCAAAAACGCACAAAAAAAC